rnacentral:rRNA from 1 species
AUCCGUAGAGUGCGAGCGUUGUCCGGAAUUACUGGGCGUAAAGAGCUCGUAGGUGGUUUGUCGCGUCGUCUGUGAAAUUCCGGGGCUUAACUCCGGGCGUGCAGGCGAUACGGGCAUAACUUGAGUACUGUAGGGGAGACUGGAAUUCCUGGUGUAGCGGUGAAAUGCGCAGAUAUCAGGAGGAACACCGGUGGCGAAGGCGGGUCUCUGGGCAGUAACUGACGCUGAGGAGCGAAAGCAUGGGUAGCGAACAGGAUUAGAUACCCUGGUAGUCCAUGCCGUAAACGGUGGGCGCUAGGUGUAGGGGUCUUCCACGACUUCUGUGCCGUAGCUAACGCAUUAAGCGCCCCGCCUGGGGAGUACGGCCGCAAGGCUAAAACUCAAAGGAAUUGACGGGG